CGCAAGCAAGCUGCGAAAAGAAAAAUCAAAGAUGACGAGAUUAUGGCAAAAACAAAAAAACUCUCUUCUUAUUUUGUGCUUCAAGGAAAUCAAAGUGACACGGAAUCUACGAAACAAAUAUAGUCAAACAUAUCCGACAACUUCAAUUUCACAUUCAGUGACGACCCUGCGGAAUGGCUCAUAAAUGACGCAUUACGUGAUUAUAUCGCUAAACAUAAUUAUAAAAGAAAUGACCAUCUUGAUUUUUCGCAGCCAAAAUUCAAGCCGGUAUUUGAAUUCAUCUACGUUCGAAAGAAGACUUUUAAAUGGUGAAAAAACUCCCCGUGAUUGGUUAGUAUAUUCUCUGAGCAAAGGAUCGAUAUGUUGUGCUCCAUGCCUUCUUUUUGGCGGCGAUUCUACUUUUUCUAAAAAAGAUGGCUAUAGUGAUUGGAAAAAUGCGGCAAUAAGAAUAAAUCAGCAUGAAAAUUCUGAAAAGCAUCAAAGUUGCUUGAAACUUCUAAAAGAUAGAGCCAGUGCUUUUGGUCGAAUCGACAAAACUUUGCUCGCUGAAUAUGACAAAGAAGUAGUUUACUGGAAAAAUGUUUUAAAACGAGUCGUCGCUGUCAUUAAGAGUUUAGCUUCACGUGGACUGCCUUUUAGAAGACAUGAUGAAAAGUUGGUUCUCUUCACAACGGAAACUAUUUGAUGCUUUUUGAAUUGAUAUCUGAAUUUGAUCCAUUUUUAGCUGAGCAUAUUUCGAAAUUCGGAAAUAAAGGUAUCGGUAGUACCAGUUAUCUGUCAAAAACGA